rnacentral:rRNA from 1 species
ACUCCUACGGGAGGCAGCAGUCGGGAAUAUUGGACAAUGGGCGGAAGCCUGAUCCAGCAAUACCGCGUGUGUGAAGAAGGCCUGCGGGUUGUAAAGCACUUUCAGUUGGGAAGAUAAUGACGUUACCAACAGAAGAAGCACCGGCUAACUCCGUGCCAGCAGCCGCGGUAAUACGGAGGGUGCGAGCGUUAAUCGGAAUUACUGGGCGUAAAGCGCAUGCAGGUGGUUUGUUAAGUCAGAUGUGAAAGCCCGGGGCUCAACCUCGGAAUAGCAUUUGAAACUGGCAGACUAGAGUACUGUAGAGGGGGUAGAAUUUCAGGUGUAGCGGUGAAAUGCGUAGAGAUCUGAAGGAAUACCGGUGGCGAAGGCGGCCCCCUGGACAGAUACUGACACUCAGAUGCGAAAGCGUGGGGAGCAAACAGGAUUAGAUACCCUGGUAGGCUCUGC